GACGAACGCUGGCGGCGUGCCUAAUACAUGCAAGUAGAACGCUGAAGGAGGAGCUUGCUUCUCCGGAUGAGUUGCGAACGGGUGAGUAACGCGUAGGUAACCUGCCUGGUAGCGGGGGAUAACUAUUGGAAACGAUAGCUAAUACCGCAUAAGAGUAGAUGUUGCAUGACAUUUGCUUAAAAGGUGCAAUUGCAUCACUACCAGAUGGACCUGCGUUGUAUUAGCUAGUUGGUGGGGUAACGGCUUACCAAGGCGACGAUACAUAGCCGACCUGAGAGGGUGAUCGGCCACACUGGGACUGAGACACGGCCCAGACUCCUACGGGAGGCAGCAGUAGGGAAUCUUCGGCAAUGGACGGAAGUCUGACCGAGCAACGCCGCGUGAGUGAAGAAGGGUGUCGGAUCGUAAAGCUCUGUUGUAAGAGAAGAACGAGUGUGAGAGUGGAAAGUUCACACUGUGACGGUAUCUUACCAGAAAGGGACGGCUAACUACGUG
rnacentral:rRNA from 1 species